UACAGGGGGGGCAAGCGUUGUUCGGAAUUACUGGGCGUAAAGGGCGCGUAGGCGGCCGCCUAAGUCAGACGUGAAAUCCCUCGGCUCAACCGGGGAACUGCGUCUGAUACUGGGUGUCUUGAAUUCGGGAGAGGGAUGCGGAAUUCCAGGUGUAGCGGUGAAAUGCGUAGAUAUCUGGAGGAACACCGGUGGCGAAGGCGGCAUCCUGGACCGAGAUUGACGCUGAGGCGCGAAAGCCAGGGGAGCAAACGGG
rnacentral:rRNA from 1 species